GCUUACUUUUACUGAUCUGGAAGCAAAGCAGACACCGAAUCUGGUUUUGCUAGAGUUUUAUUGCAAUGGAAUAAUUUGUUCCUAGUAUGUCAACUGUAGUAUAAAGUGUUUAGGCAAAAGACCUCUCUUUUUCUUUGUCCUUCUUUAAGUUCUCUUCAGUUUUUGAACUUGGCUUUGUGUGAUUAUUAGAAGCAUAUGCUAUGCACUCUUAAUUAACAGUCUUAUGAAAGGGAGAAAUGUUUAACUGUUACCAAAGCCCAUAACACUUGAAAGUGAAGAAGUUAAAGUAACUUAGCAAGGACAAUUCCAUAGAUCGUGUUUCAAAUAAAUACACACUAAUACUCUGUAUAAUUCGGUAAUUAUCCCCUUGACAUCUCCAUUACUGUUGCUUCCUGGUGAAAACAACAUAUUUUGUCAUAAUUUGUAAAUGAAGACCAAAUUAAAAACAAAAGCAAAAUGUGCUCAUAAAACUUCUAUAUAUUAUUCAGAUGUCUCUUUGAAGUAGUAUAGUUACUUAUUGGAAAGAAAAAGCUCUAUCCAUUUCUUCUUAUAAAAUCUCUAAAUUAAAUUCCUAACUAAAACCUUAAACCCUUAAUUACCUUCUCUAAGAAAAAAAAACUCUUAAAUCAUUCCUAAAAGUCACAUUCUAUUUCAAAAGCCCUAGUCCUUGUCCUCCCCUUUGAAGACAAUCUUUGAGAUCCUCUCACUCAACUGUCUCGCUACAGGAUGCCUAGUGGAGUCAAUAGCGACACAAAUCUCACGAGUCACCUUGUGCCUAAACAUGAAAACUGUGAGAAAAUCGCAAUACAUACUGAGCUUAUACACUUUCACAAACGUGUUCCAUCCUGACAUCAACACAGGCGUCUUCUCAUUCCACAUCUUGAACAUCAUCUCAUGAGCCUUCCCGUCUGGUCCGUAAACCGAAACCCUAGUCCCCUCUUUCCCAAGCAGAGUAUCCGAUUCUUCAAGAAGAGGCAAAAAGUUCUUGUCCACUUGCACCUUACUUAGCAUAAGCCUGUUUUGAUCUCCCUUCACGUCGCUCUUUGUUAACUGCUUCCUUAUCGGUUUGCUGCAUCGUCCCAACACUGCCGUGGUCGCUUCCGGUAGAUUUUUUGGUGGAUCGCUGGUCCAUCGGAGGAGUAAGUCUAGGGUUUCUUCCGUAUCAUCCUUGAUGAUUUUCUUCUUCUUACCAGCUUGGAUUCUGUCGCGCAAGAACAUGAAGUGGCUUAAAGCAAAAGCAGCAGUAACCACCUCGUCCUGUUCUUGUCUCUUUUUUUCUUCUUCUGGAGUUAGUCUUUUUCUUUUUGCUCCUAUCGUUGAAGUUGCCAUGAUAUCUCUGUUUGUGUCAGCUGAAGAUACCUUGAAAUGCAAGGUUUCUAGGGCUUUCUCUUUUAUUUUCUCGCUUGUGAAAUUAGUAAAUCAAUUCCUUUAUAUACCCACUUACAAAAUAGACCUGUAUAAAAUAUCAAUAGCUUGUAGCAGCCCAGAAAAAAUCUUGUUUUGAGGCCCAAAGUCCAUUUAUUUGUGUAAAACAAUUUUAUACAAUUAUAUAAUGAUGUAAUCAGGAGCCGUGCGAGACAAGGUCCUGACUCCUAACAAGAGAAAGAAGCGAGGAAUACUCUUUACAUAAAUUACUUCCGUGAAUCACCGUAGCCUGGUUUAAUUGUUUUUACACCCAAGUUUGAAGGUUUGAAUCCCAGACUAUGCAAUUUCUUGCAGAUUACAAGAAAUUCAAGUUUUAAUUCUCGGAGAAAUCGAUUUAUUAAACAAUUAUACAGACUACGGAAGAAAGACUUACAAAGAAUCUUCAACAUGGUACAAGUAAAUCUAGUCAGAUGUGGAUUUUCAUAAGACGGCUCAGCUGAUGCAGUUAGGCAUAGGUCCUCAUAAAUCAGGUAGUCGAAUCGUAUAUGUAAUCUUUCUCAUAUCAUUGUAAUAUCAUAAUAAAUCAACGUUAAAAAAAGAUAAAUUACUUCUAUAAAUAUUUGAUUGUCUUAAAUUACAAAUAAAUACGGCUUGUAGAAGAAAUAAAAGAAUUGGGUUACACAAAUGCUAUAUGGCCAAAAUAUGAUUAAUACUAAACCCGGUAAAAAUAACACAAGGUUCCUAGUAUUAAUCGCAAAUUAACACAAUCAAUCAUAUUCCAGAAUCUAGCAUAAAGACUAAUUCCAGAAUACCUAACUAUCCACAACUUAGCGAUAUCAUCUAAGCAUUUCCUCAUUCGCUAACUAACCAAUCAACCUAACCAUUAGCAUGCUACUAUGGUUCUCAAGCAAUAACAAGCAUGCCAUCAACUCAAUCAACAUAACCUCAAUUAUUAACUAGUCAAACCGUUACUCAGUUAGACCAGGCCUCCUGCCAUGAUCCAACUUCCAAGUAACGGGAUCCUGCAUGAAAACAACUCAGCAAUCAAUUGAUUAUAACUCACAGUUUUUGGUUGACCGUGGCCUUGACCCCAAACCCGACUUCUGCGAUCCGAACCCUUUCUCGACCUUCUCAAGCAGACCCACGUCCAGACUGAUCUUUAACUGGUCUCCAUCAGAACUGAUCUCUCCUCAUUUGAACAGAACCUUCUCCAUAUGCUGACUCAAAAUCGGCAGAGUAACUGUUCUCGAAAACUGCCAAAAUCGCUCGAAAACUAUCGAAACUCGAUAUUUCUUUCUUUGCUUUCUCUCUCACGUUUUGAACUGACUUUCAUGUGUUCUGGAUGUGUUCAAAUGAGAGGGGCUCGUGGGCUAUUUAUAGACAUAAGCAGCCAAUCAAAUUCAAGCCGGACGCAUGCACGGCGACACCUCGUGCUCCACAUGGCUGGCUGCAUGUCUCAAUCUCAUGCAGGAUGACACCACGCCCUCUACCUGUCUGAAUGCAUGGCCUGGAUCCAUGCAAGGAGACACCUCGUCCUCCACAUGUCUGGCCGCAUGGCCCGGUCGCAUGCAUUGCAACACCUCGUGCUUGGCCGUUCCACCUCGUGCUUCUAUGUGUCACUCCGCAUGCUGUGAUCAUUUGUACUGCAACAGCUCGUGCUUCCCUUGCCACAUACCAUGCCAGGCAGUUGUCACCACGUCCUGAUCUGAUAGAUCGAGCCACCUCGAGCUUCUCGGUCCAUUCGUCCAAUUUUGGCCUUUCCGGUGAAUUUUUCGUCCCGCGAUCAAUCCCAAUAUUUUUCGACGCCCGUUCUGAUGAUCUGAUUAUUUUUAAUAAACUCCAAAUGAAUCCUGACUUGAUGAAAAAUAUUUCUCGAGUUUCCGGCUACUUCGAAAAAUUCCAUAAUACCGAAAUUAGGGUUUUUCGCCCAAUUUCCGGUCUUCCUUUUGUGCUUCCAAAAGUGUCAUGCUUCAAACGUCCUUUGAGUAAAUAUACCACAUUGUCUAACCACUGUCUAGUGGGAUACUUGACUCAUGGUUGAGACAAAAACAAUCUGAUCAUCCGUGACUCGAUCACCCAAAAGAUACUCGACCAUUUUUUUUAUUUUUAUUUUUUAUGGGUUUAUACAGUGUAGCUGAUGGAGUCCCAAACUUCCAAUAUAGUCGUUGGAAGGCUUCGUUGACUGUGGUCUUGUUUCCCGGUUGAUUCCGGUGGUUAGCAGCUUUGGUUAGAUCGGCGACGACCUUCAGUCGGUGAAGAUGGUGGAGGAUUGUAUCAGCAUGUGUCCCUUUUUCCACGUUUAUUUUAACACGUUUCAUAGUAGGCCUGAGCAUUUUAACAUGGACCCGAAGAUCCGAACCGGAACCGACUCAAAAAUACCCGAUCCGGAACCGGACCCCAUGGUCUGUAUAUUAGGUUAUCAAUCUCCAAUCCAUGGAGUUCGUUCACCCACCCACCAAUUUCGAAAUCGGUAAAACUACUCAUAACGCGACGGCGAUCAUGAGCACUGUGGUUGCAGGUCACCCAAAUUCAGAUUCCACCUCUACAACGGUUAUGGAGACGGUGAACGGUUCGCACCAGUUCACGAUCAAGGGCUACUCUCUAGCCAAAGGCAUGGGCCCAGGGAGAUACAUACAGAGCGACGUCUUCUCAAUCGCCGGAUACGAUUGGGCGAUCUACUUCUACCCGGACGGGAAGAACCCUGAGGACAACUCGGCGUACGUCUCUCUCUUCAUCGCUUUAGCGAGUGAUUCUAGCGACAUUAGGGCUUUGUUCGAGCUCACGUUGGUGGAUCAGAGUGGUAAAGGGAGGCACAAGGUGCAUAGUCACUUUGAUCGGACGCUUGAAGGUGGUCCUUAUACGCUUAAGUGUAAAGGAAGCAUGUGGUGAGUUUCUGGUUUCUUGUAAUGGUUUGUGUUCUGUUUGAAUUGCAUGUUUGUGUUGAAGAAGAGAGCUGUUGUUAUUGGUUUCAUGUCUAUGUCUGAAGCAGUUCUGUAAUGUUUUAGAACUAUUGUUAGAUUUUGGAGACUAUAAACAUUUUAGUAUAAUUUUUUUAUAAAAGAAUUUAUAAUUUAGGGGCCGCCAAAUCUAUAUUUAUAUUAGUUCUUUAAAAUUUGAGGAUUAAUGUGAAUGUUUCAUCCGGCUGGGUCCAGAACCGGCCUUCAUUGUUGUUGUUAGUUUCAUGUCUGAAUCACUUCUGUAAUGUUUGUUUAUCUUCUACUUGAAUUGCAUGUAUGUGUUGCAGAAGGGAAAUGUUUUAAUUGGUUACAUGUCUGAAUCACUUCUGCAGUGUUUAUCUUCUGUUUUAAUUGCUGCUGAAGAAAGGAACUGUUGUUAAUGUUUUAAUGUCCGAAGCACUUCUGUAAUGUUUAUCUUUUUCUUGAAUUGCAUGUUGGUGUUGAAGAAGGGAACUUUUGUUAUUGGCUUCAUGUCGGAAACACUCCAGAACUAGGGAACAUUAUGCAUGUGUUCUGUAAUUACAUAGUUUAACUCGUCGUCUGCAUCAUUUGUUGAGUUAUUUUCAUUGAACUACAUAUCUAAGAUGAGAUCUCCUUCUAAUGUGACUUAUCAUAACGAGUUUCAGGGGUUACAAACGCUUUUUAAGAAGAACAGCUUUAGAAGCCUCUGACUACUUGAAGGAUGAUUCUCUUGUCAUCAAUUGUACAGUUGGUGUUGUCAGAGCUAGGCUUGAGGGUCCGAAACAGUUUGGCAUUGUGCUGCCCUCGUCUGAUAUGGGUCAGGGAUUGAAAGACUUGCUAGAUUCUGAAGUUGGCUGCGACAUAGCUUUCCAAGUCGGAGAUGAGACUUACAAAGCUCACAAACUCAUCCUCGCAGCACGCUCGCCGGUUUUUAGAGCUCAGUUCUAUGGACCAAUUGGGAAUAACAACGUGGAGAGGAUAGUGAUAGAGGACAUCGAGCCAUCUAUCUUUAAGGUAAUGUUAUGUUCAAAUAGCACAUUGUGGAUGGAUAGUUUUACUGACUUGGAUUGUGGAGAUUUUUGUAGGCUAUGCUUAGCUUCAUCUACACCGAUGUACUCCCUGAUGUGCACGAGAUUACGGGGUCAGCUUCUUCGAGCUUAAUCACGAACAUGAUACAGCAUCUCUUGGCGGCUGCUGACCUCUAUGACCUUGGAAGGUUAAAGGUGUUAUGUGAAGUUUUUCUGUGUGAGAAACUAAAUGUUGAUAAUGUGGCAACAACACUUGCACUGUCUGAACAGUACCAACUGUCAGAGCUCAAAGCCUUCUGCUUAAAAUUUGUUACAUCUCCAGGAAACUUGCGAGGUGAGUGUUGCAUAUAUAUUGAGUUUCAUUUUUGUUUUCCAGUCUGCAUUUUUAUAUGCCUAUGUCGUAUAUAUAUCAGGUUUAUACAUACUACUAAUACUGUAAGCUUUGUUUGAGAGUGCUGCCAUGAAAUUUUUGUUAAUAACCUACUUUUAUUUUGGGAAGCAAUAGGUAAUUGAGAGAACAAUGAAGUAGUCCAUAUGUUAUAAAGAUUCCAGAUGAAAUUUAAGCCUUUUUGUUUCUCUCGUAUAAUGAUCAUCUGGUUCUGUGUGUUUUCUUUGAUCCGGUGUAUAUAUUGGCAUGUGGUGCUUGUUCCAAUAAUGUGUAAUGUAUUAUUAUUUAUCGAAGUUAUGUGAGCUAAUUCGUUAUUUUUGUGUAUUUUACUUAUAGUUUAUCUUGCUAGUCUACUGAAAUUUCUAGUUUCUUGUCUUAUGUUCAAUUUCGAUAUAGGAGACUCGAUGUUUGAUUAGACGGCCUGAAGUUUAUCGUCCUCAAUUAGGUGCGAAAAUUAUUUAUUUUUUUCGACGAGUUUUGUAGACCAACCAGUUUAAAGUCUACAAUGCCUAGGCAUAUGGGUAACUUAUCUUUGCACUCUGGAAGAUAGAGAUGUUUAAGGAAUGUCCUGGUCUUAAUGUUUUUUUUUAUUUCCUGGUCUUAAUGUUGAGUUUCAGCAAGUGCUGGUAUUCACAUCUAAAAGACAGUACAUACAUUUGCUGAACUUGACUGAAACCAGUAGAUAUAUGUAUAAUUUUUUUUACAAAUAUGGUGAACUUUUUUAUUAUGUUUCAAAGAUAUUAUCCCUGAAGAGAAUCCAGUAAAAAACUAAAAAGUAGGUGAUGUGUGUGUGCUGGUGCAGCUGUAAUGAAGUCUGAAGGGUUCAAGCACUUGAGCCAGAGCUGUCCCUCUAUGUUGUCUGAGCUGCUGAGCACGGUUGCAGCAGGGGAUAAGAUCUUGACGAGUGAACAAGCUAGCAAGAAAAGAAGUCUGUGUAGUAGUGUGUUAGCCUAUGAUACAAAUGCUGCGAGGCAACUGAGGAGGAGGACAUAGGGGUCCGAUCCAAAUGCAAUGGAACUUUGCGCAGGUCAGCUUACUUUUACUGAUCUGGAAGCAAAGCAGACACCGAAUCUGGUUUUGCUAGAGUUUUAUUGCAAUGGAAUAAUUUGUUCCUAGUAUGUCAACUGUAGUAUAAAGUGUUUAGGCAAAAGACCUCUCUUUUUCUUUGUCCUUCUUUAAGUUCUCUUCAGUUUUUGAACUUGGCUUUGUGUGAUUAUUAGAAGCAUAUGCUAUGCACUCUUAAUUAACAGUCUUAUGAAAGGGAGAAAUGUUUAACU
rnacentral:lncRNA from 1 species